CUGGGUGAGAAGAAGGGUCAGCCCGCCGAGGAGAGAUGUCGGCUGGUUCUCCAGCGGUGUAAACUACAAGGUUGGCAGAUGGGCGUCCACAAAGUGUUCCUGAAGUACUGGCAGGUGGACCAGCUCGGUGACCUGUGGCUCCAGAUGCAAAGGAAGAUUGUAACUUGUCAGAAAGGUAAGCACACAGGGGCACUCAGUGAGUCUCCGAACCACCCAGUUUAAACCACUCCGAGUUUAACUGUCAGUGGGGUCAGUGCCACAGUGGGCUUCCCAACCCGCUCAAUGACACUCCAUCAAGGCGAGCAAUUGCACUCCUCCAGCAAGGGUCUGCAAGGCUGUGUCCCGCUGCAAUCUGGAUGUGUGGGUCUUGCAUGUCUUAUUGGUUCUGUUCUACAUGAAGUUAUGUAAGUUCUCACCUCAAUCAUAAUUUGGGGGAGGAAACAAAUGCAUCUCGCUAGUCCUGCAUUCUGUACCUUGAAGAUCGCCAACCGCAGUGUUCUCUUUAGGAAGCACUGGAGAUAUUCGGUGGGAAUGCACACCUGGCUCCUGGCUGCAGCUGCAGUGGGGUUCCCUGUGGCACCCGGUAUAGAUCUCAGCUGUGCUGGGUUCCAAGAGCUGGAACCAACCAAUUGCCCAAACAGCAUCUCUGUAGCUCUCCGUAAGCCUUGGAAAACCCUGGACUCUGUUUUCCUUUAGGAGGGAUGGUAAUAUUUGCUGUGGCUUGUUUCACGGCUGUUGGCAUCCUUUUACAUUGUAAUGUUGGGAGACCGAAUAUGUUCUCUGUCCAAAUUCAAAUGACUGCUGAGAACGUGCAUUUAAAAAAAAAAAAAAAAA
rnacentral:lncRNA from 1 species